rnacentral:rRNA from 1 species
CAAUAGCGUAUAUUAAAGUUGUUGCGGUAAAAAAGCUCGUAGUUGGAUUUCUGUUGAGAGCGAACGGUCCAUACCAUGUAUGCGUAUCUGGCUUGCUCUCGGCAUCCUCUCGAUAGACGUUACUGCGCUUGAUUGCGUGGUGCGGAUCUCGGGACUUUUACUUUGAGGAAAUUAGAGUGUUCACGGCAGGCUUUCGCCAGAAUACAUUAGCAUGGAAUAAUACUAUAGGAUCUUGGUUCUAUUUUGUUGGUUUCUAGAAUUGAGAUAAUGAUUAAUAGGGACAAUUGGGGGCAUUCGUAUCAACACGUCAGAGGUGGAAUUCUUGGAUUGUGUUGCGACGAACUACUGCGAAAGCAUUUGCCAAGGAUGUUUUCAUUGA